AAACUCAUUACCUUUGGGUCUCAGUAUUGCAAAUGCUGAUGUGAAUAUAUAACUAUUCUGGGUUUU
rnacentral:tRNA from 1 species